GAUGAACGCUAGCGGGAGGCUUAACACAUGCAAGUCGAGGGGCAGCACGGGGUAGCAAUACUCUGGUGGCGACCGGCGCACGGGUGAGUAACACGUAUGCAACUUACCCUGUACUGGAGGAUAACCCGGAGAAAUUCGGACUAAUACUCCAUGAUGAUAUUGAGGGGCAUCCUUUAAUAUUUAAAGCUCAGGCGGUACGGGAUGGGCAUGCGGAACAUUAGCUAGUUGGCAGGGUAACGGCCUACCAAGGCUACGAUGUUUAGGGGACCUGAGAGGGUGAUCCCCCACACUGGUACUGAGACACGGACCAGACUCCUACGGGAGGCAGCAGUGAGGAAUAUUGGUCAAUGGGCGCAAGCCUGAACCAGCCAUCCCGCGUGCAGGAAGAUGGCGCUAUGCGUUGUAAACUGCUUUUCCAGGGGGUGAAACUCUCGUACGAGUACGGGAUUGACGGUACCCUGGGAAUAAGCAUCGGCUAACUCCGUGCCAGCAGCCGCCGUAACAC
rnacentral:rRNA from 1 species